GCUCGGGUGGUGGAAUUGGUAGACACACACGUUUGAGGGGCGUGUGCCGUAAGGCGUGCGGGUUCGAGUCCCGCCCCGAGCACCA
rnacentral:tRNA from 1 species